rnacentral:rRNA from 1 species
GACAGAGGGGGCAAGCGUUGCUCGGAAUCACUGGGCGUAAAGGGUGUGUAGGCGGUUGUUUAAGUUUGGUGUGAAAUCUCCCGGCUCAACUGGGAGGGUGCGCCGAAUACUGAAUGACUUGGAGUGCGGGAGAGGAGAGUGGAAUUCCUGGUGUAGCGGUGAAAUGCGUAGAUAUCAGGAGGAACACCGGUGGCGAAGGCGGCAUCCUGGACCAACACUGACGCUGAGGAGCGAAAGCCAGGGGAGCAAACGGG